UACGGAGGGUGCAAGCGUUAUCCGGAUUCACUGGGUUUAAAGGGUGCGUAGGUGGGUCUGUAAGUCCGUGGUGAAAUCUCCGAGCUUAACUUGGAAACUGCCAUGGAUACUAUAGGUCUUGAAUUAUCUGGAGGUAAGCGGAAUAUGUCAUGUAGCGGUGAAAUGCUUAGAUAUGACAUAGAACACCAAUUGCGAAGGCAGCUUACUACGGAUUGAUUGACACUGAGGCACGAAAGCGUGGGGAUCAAACAGG
rnacentral:rRNA from 1 species